UUGAUAGUUGUUAUUUGUUUCAUAAAAAUCCAAUUUUGAUUUCUAUUUCACUCUGUAAUAAAAAUAUUCAAUUCAUUUAUGACUCAAUCCGACUUUAAAUUUUUAAUUGACCAAUUUCAAAAUAAACCUUUAAAAUUAAAUCCUCUAUUGCAAACACCUCCCUCUACUUCUCGAUCCUUCAUCACUCUCUUAUCUCUUAACCAAAACCCUCUCUCAAAUUUCUAGGUGUCUCAAUUGCUCAUUCUGAUUUUUAUUUUAAUAAUUAAUCAAACAUUUAUAUAUAGAUGAUUCGUCAUUCCAUUUUUCAUUCCAAUAUAACUCAAUUCUAUUUUUCAUUCUCAUUCCAAUCAUUAGCCAAAUAUGCCCAAAAUAUCCUCGUAAACAAAAUUUUUCUUAAGAUUCUUUUUAAAAUUUCUAGUUAAUAGUCUAUGAAGGAUGAUAUGGAAAUCAAAAUAAAAAUAUAUCGAAAAUAAUAAAUGAUGAUAUAUAUAAUUAAGAAAGUAUAUUUAAGUAUAGAAUGAUUAUUUUGUAGAAACAAAGAUUAAGUUUAA
rnacentral:lncRNA from 1 species